CAGACGAUUGAGCAAGGACAAGGAAGCGUGCUGCUGACUACUGAGAUUUGAAUUGUUGUGUGUUAUGCACGCAUGCGUAGUGCGGUCAACACACCUGAGGGGGGUGCAGGUGCUGAUUACCUCUACUGAGAAAAAAUAUUGGAUCAUGUAACCACUGUCAACGAUGCAGUACUGUACUGUACUGCAGUUAAAUAUAGGCAUUAGAACUCAAAUCAAUCAAGGUUGAUGAACUCUUGGAGCUGGUGGGAAUGGAUCUGAUUGGUGUGUUGCUUUUAUGUACAGAUUGGUUAAUGCUUUUCACUUAAAACUUGUUAAACUCAUUUAAGCUAUAGGUCUAAAAUUCAAGUCUGAAAAUCAGCUUGAUUGAAAGAUUUUUUCCAAAGAUAUAGACUAUCUUAUAGUACUGUACAGUAUUUUACAUCACCAAAUUGCUUACGGUUUUUCAGUACUGUAAUGUACUUGUAUCCUCUAUGUCUUUUGACUUCUCUUUAACAUGACAUUCUUAAGUUCAAGUGCAAAUAGCAAUGUCGUCUAACAAUUUAUUCCAAAGUUAUCGAGAAAAUAAAUUUGACACCGAGAGUAUUACCUGCGUUCAGCUCCAGGAAAGCAAACAUAUUUGCUGUUAUAAAACAAAUGUUAAAGAUCAAGAAAGCAGAACAGUACUAGACACAGGAAGCUGCUUGAUUUAAUUUAAACUACUCUUAGUUUUCCCUUUUUAGCAUACAGUACUAUAGUGCUUUUGGCCAGGAAACACUGAAUCCUGAUACAUAAAUCAGUUUCAUUUUCAUGUAUUAUUGUAGUAUUUAUGUUUCUCACAAGUGGGUAUACCUAUCUAUUACCUCAGUCCUUUGACUGGUAAUUUCUGUUAUUAUUGUAUUUUCUGUCUGUACAUUUGUCAGCUUUGUUCUCUAGUUCUCUUUAUACAGUAUUCAUAAUCUUAAAUUAAUCUUAUAUUGCAGGGGGUGAUGAUUUUCAGAGAAACUUCUAAGUUCAGUCCUUUGUAAGAAAUGCCUAAUAUUUAUUUAUUUUUAUGUUUUACUGUAUACAGUAUAUAUAUUAUACAAGAGUAUACAGUACAGUAUACUCUAUACCUUAUAUAGUAUACUGAAUUUGUUGGCAGAACAAAUUUAUGUGUCUGGUAUUUACAGUAUUUAAUUAGUUUAGGCUACAAGAUGUGUGAUGACUCAAGAAUGAAGAGAUAUCAAAAAUUUUUGGUUUGUUUGAGUCAAGCAUGUUGGUGGACCAAGUACAGUAUGCAUAAUGUAUUGACAGAUUUCAUUAGCCCAUUAGGCAGGUGUGGUCAGGUCAUUGAAAGGUCUAAGAAUUCAUCCUGACAAGCAACUCUUUUAUCUUAUUUACAGUAAUGUGAUAACUCUCAUACAGUACUCGGUGAUAAACUUGAGUACACUUUUUCAGUUUCUAAUUAAGGGUAAUAAAAUGUUUUUUCACAA